rnacentral:rRNA from 1 species
UGAUGCAGCCAUGCCGCGUGUAUGAAGAAGGCCUUCGGGUUGUAAAGUACUUUCAGUUGUGAGGAAGGCGUAUGCGUUAAUAGCGUAUGUGUUUGACGUUAGCAACAGAAGAAGCACCGGCUAACUCCGUGCCAGCAGCCGCGGUAAUACGGAGGGUGCGAGCGUUAAUCGGAAUUACUGGGCGUAAAGCGCAUGCAGGCGGCUUGUUAAGCCAGAUGUGAAAGCCCGGGGCUCAACCUCGGAAUAGCAUUUGGAACUGGCAGGCUAGAGUCUUGUAGAGGGGGGUAGAAUUUCAGGUGUAGCGGUGAAAUGCGUAGAGAUCUGAAGGAAUACCGGUGGCGAAGGCGGCCCCCUGGACAAAGACUGACGCUCAGAUGCGAAAGCGUGGGGAGCAAACAGGAUUAGAUACCCUGGUAGUCCACGCCGUAAACGAUGUCUACUUGGAGGCUGGAACCUUGAGUUCUGGCUUUCGGAGCUAACGCGUUAAGUAGACCGCCUGGGGAGUACGGUCGCAAGAUUAAAACUCAAAUGAAUUGACGGGGGCCCGCACAAGCGGUGGAGCAUGUGGUUUAAUUCGAUGCAACGCGAAGAACCUUACCUACUCUUGACAUCCAGAGAACUUUCCAGAGAUGGAUUGGUGCCUUCGGGAACUCUGAGACAGGUGCUGCAUGGCUGUCGUCAGCUCGUGUUGUGAAAUGUUGGGUUAAAGUCCCGCAACGAGCGCAACCCCUAUCCU